rnacentral:rRNA from 1 species
GCACAAGCGGUGGAGUAUGUGGUUUAAUUCGAUGCAACGCGAAGAACCUUACCUGGUCUUGACAUCCCGGAGACCCUUAGGAAACUAGGGGGUGCCUUCCAUCUGGAAGAAUCUGGAGACAGGUGCUGCAUGGCUGUCGUCAGCUCGUGUCGUGAGAUGUUGGGUUAAGUCCCGCAACGAGCGCAACCCUUGCCUUUAGUUGCCAGCAGUUCGGCUGGGCACUCUAAAGGGACUGCCGGUGUUAAACCGGAGGAAGGUGGGGAUGACGUCAAGUCCUCAUGGCCUUUAUGACCAGGGCUACACACGUACUACAAUGGCCGAUACAAAGGGCAGCGACACUGCGAGGUGAAGCCAAUCCCGUAAAAUCGGUCUCAGUCCGGAUUGGAGUCUGCAACUCGACUCCAUGAAGUUGGAAUCGCUAGUAAUCGUGGAUCAGCAUGCCACGGUGAAUACGUUCCCGGGCCUU